UACGUAGGGGGCAAGCGUUGUCCGGAAUUAUUGGGCGUAAAGCGCGCGCAGGCGGUCUUUUAAGUCUGAUGUGAAAGCCCACGGCUCAACCGUGGAGGGUCAUUGGAAACUGGGGGACUUGAGUACAGAAGAGAAGAGUGGAAUUCCACGUGUAGCGGUGAAAUGCGUAGAGAUGUGGAGGAACACCAGUGGCGAAGGCGACUCUUUGGUCUGUAACUGACGCUGAGGCGCGAAAGCGUGGGGAGCAAACAGG
rnacentral:rRNA from 1 species